AUUGAACGCUGGCGGCAGGCCUAACACAUGCAAGUCGAGCGGAUGAAGGGAGCUUGCUCCUGUAUUCUGCGGCGGACGGGUGAGUGAUUCCUAGGAAUCUGCCUGGUAUUGGGGGAUAACGUCCGUAAACGGGCGCUAAUACCGCAUACGUCCAUAUUGAGAAACGGGGGGAUCUUCGGACCUCACGCUAUCAGAUGACCCUUGGUCGCAUUAGCUAGUUGGUGGGGUAAGGGCUUACCAAGGCGACGAUCCGUAACUGACCUGAGAGGGUGAUCAGCCACACUGGAACUGAGACACGGUCCAGACUCCUACGGGAGGCAGCAGUGGGGAAUAUUCGACAAUGGGCGAAAGCCUGAUCGAGCCAUGCCGCGUGUGUGAAGAAGGUCUUCGGAUUGUAAAGCACUUUAAGUUGGGAGGAAGAGAAGUGAGUUAAUCUGUUCAUGUUUUGACGUUACCAACACAAAAAGCCCCGGCUAACUACGUG
rnacentral:rRNA from 1 species